rnacentral:rRNA from 1 species
CCUACGGGAGACUGCAGUGGGGGAUAUUGCACAAUGGGGGGAACCCUGAUGCAGCGACGCCGCGUGGGUGAAGGAGUGCUUCGGCAUGUAAAGCCCUAUCGGCAGGGAAGAAGCAAGACGGUACCUGACUAAGAAGCCCCGGCUAACUACGUGCCAGCAGCCGCGGUAAUACGUAGGGGGCGAGCGUUAUCCGGAUUCACUGGGUGUAAAGGGAGCGUAGACGGCCAUGCAAGCCAGGGGUGAAAGCCCGGGGCCCAACCCCGGGACUGCCCUUGGAACUGGGCGGCUAGAGUGCGGGAGGGGCAGGCGGAAUGCCUGGUGUAGCGGUGAAAUGCGUAGAGAUCAGGAGGAACACCGGCGGCGAAGGCGGCCUGCUGGACCGCGACUGACGUUGAGGCUCGAAAGCGUGGGUAGCAAACAGGAUUAGAUACCCUGGUAGUC